GAUGAACGCUGGCGGCGUGCCUAAUACAUGCAAGUCGAGCGAACAGACGAGGAGCUUGCUCCUCUGACGUUAGCGGCGGACGGGUGAGUAACACGUGGAUAACCUACCUAUAAGACUGGGAUAACUUCGGGAAACCGGAGCUAAUACCGGAUAAUAUAUUGAACCGCAUGGUUCAAUAGUGAAAGACGGUUUUGCUGUCACUUAUAGAUGGAUCCGCGCCGCAUUAGCUAGUUGGUAAGGUAACGGCUUACCAAGGCAACGAUGCGUAGCCGACCUGAGAGGGUGAUCAGCCACACUGGAACUGAGACACGGUCCAGACUCCUACGGGAGGCAGCAGUAGGGAAUCUUGCGCAAUGGGCGCAAGCCUGACGCAGCCACGCCGCGUGAGUGAUGAAGGUCUUCGGAUCGUAAAACUCUGUUAUUAGGGAAGAACACAUCUGUAAGUAACUAUGCACGUGUUGACGGUACCUAAUCAGAAAGCCACGGCUAACUACGUG
rnacentral:rRNA from 1 species